rnacentral:rRNA from 1 species
AUUGAACGCUGGCGGCAUGCCUUACACAUGCAAGUCGAACGGCAGCACGGGAGCAAUCCUGGUGGCGAGUGGCGAACGGGUGAGUAAUAUAUCGGAACGUGCCCAGUCGUGGGGAUAACGUAGCGAAAGCUACGCUAAUACCGCAUACGAUCUAUGGAUGAAAGCGGGGGAUCGCAAGACCUCAUGCUCAUGGAGUGGCCGAUAUCUGAUUAGCUAGUUGGUGAGGUAAAGGCUCACCAAGCCGACGAUCUGUAGCUGGUCUGAGAGGACGACCAGCCACACUGGGACUGAGACACGGCCCAGACUCCUACGGGAGGCAGCAGUGGGGAAUAUUGGACAAUGGGCGAAAGCCUGAUCCAGCAAUGCCGCGUGAGUGAUG